AAUUCGCCCUUUGUACACACCGCCCGCCACACCAUGGAAGUUGGUUUCGCCCGAAGUCGUUACUCCAACCGUUCGCGGAGGAGGACGCCGAAGGCAGGGCUGAUGACUGGGGUGAAGUCGUAACAAGGUAGCCGUACCGGAAGGUGUGGCUGGAUCACCUCCUUAGAGGGAGACCUACCGAUUUGAGACUGCAGUUAUUCAUAUAGGCAGUUGAGAUGGAGUCAACCGAGGUCGAGCGGGGUUUAGCCUGAUAGAGAUUUGAUUGCAGGCUAGACGAAUAGGUUUUAUGGAGUUGGUUUUCAAACUAUGAUUCUGGGUUUAGGGGCUAUUAGCUCAGGUGGUUAGAGCGCACCCCUGAUAAGGGUGAGGUCCCUGGUUCGAGUCCAGGAUGGCCCACUUGUGGGGGUAUAGCUCAGUUGGUAGAGCGCCUGCUUUGCAAGCAGGAUGUCAGCGGUUCGAGUCCGCUUACCUCCACCAUUAGUUGAGGGAGAGGUCAGCCCUCUGUCAUUUGAAUAACUGAGGCAUUGCGCCAUGAGUUGUGAGAUGGUAGAGUGCUGGGCUUGGAGUU
rnacentral:misc_RNA from 1 species